UACGUAGGGUGCAAGCGUUAAUCGGAAUUACUGGGCGUAAAGCGUGCGCAGGCGGUUAUGUAAGACAGAUGUGAAAUCCCCGGGCUCAACCUGGGAACUGCAUUUGUGACUGCAUAGCUAGAGUACGGUAGAGGGGGAUGGAAUUCCGCGUGUAGCAGUGAAAUGCGUAGAUAUCUGGAGGAACACCGGUGGCGAAGGCGGCAUCCUGGACCGGUAUUGACGCUGAGGCGCGAAAGCGUGGGGAGCAAACAGG
rnacentral:rRNA from 1 species